rnacentral:ncRNA from 1 species
GAUAAGUUUUAUUUUGGCUUUUAAUUUUAAUUUAUAAAUUAACUUAUAUGUAAGUUUUAGCAUAAUAAUAAUAAUGUAAAAUUAAUUUAAAAAGUUAAUUUUUUAUUUUUUAAAAUUAGCAAUAAUUAAUUUUAUACUAUGAAAGAGAUUUUGAUAUAAAAAUUUAUAAUAGCAUUGGCUAAAUUUGUGCCAGCAGUCGCGGUUAAACAGGUGAUGCAUUUAAAUUAGGUCGGUUGUGGUAAUAAACAUGAAAUUAAAUUUAAUUAAUUAAAAAUUGAUUUUAAUAAGUGAAAUUAGAAAAUUAAAUUUUAUUAAUUUAAAAUUUGUAGAUUUAUGAAAUUUUAGAAUUAAACUAGGAUUAGAUACCCUAUUAUAAAAAAUGUAAAUUUUAAUACCAGAGUAGUAGUAGUUAUGAUCUUGAAAUUUAAAAGAUUUGGCGGUAUCUUAAGUCUUUUUAGAGGAACCUGUCCUAUAAUUGAUGAUCCACGAUUAAUUGUACUUAAUUUAAUAGUUUGUAUACCGUCGUCAUUUGAAUGUCUUUAAAAAGUUAAGAAUGUUCAUAAUUUAUAAUUAUAUAAAAUAAAUCAGAUCAAGGUACAGCAUAUAAUUGAGAAGAGAUGGGUUACAAUAAAAUUAUUUAUAUGGUUAUAAUAAUUAACAUUAUUAUUUAAAGUGGAUUUAAUAGUAAUAUAUUUAAGUUAAAAUAUAUGAUUAGAGCUCUGGGAUAUGCACAUAUCGCCCGUCGUUUCCAUCGAAAUGUAAGUUGGAAUAAGUCGUAACAUAGUAGGUGUACCGGAAGGUGUACCUAGUUAGAU